rnacentral:tRNA from 2 species
UCCUUGUUAGCUCAGUUGGUAGAGCGUUCGGCUUUUACAACCGAAAUGUCAGGGGUUCGAGCCCCCUAUGAGGAG